rnacentral:lncRNA from 1 species
UUCCCCACUCCUAUUAUAUGGUAGCUUUUAAUCAAGUUUAUAUAAUGUAUAUACACACAUAUAUGAUAUAUGCAUAUUAUAUAUUUAAUAUAUAUGUGUGUGUAUUUAUAGGUGUAUGUAUACCACAUUUUCCUAUUAAAGAUUCUUCACUCACAUAGAGCAGCUGUUCUCAACCAGAGUUGUUCUGACAUCCAGGGAGCAUUUGGCAACAUCUGGAGACAUUUUUGAUUUUCACAACUGAGUAGUGCUUCUGACAUGUAGUGGCAGGGAAAACACUAAACCUUCUAUAAUGCACAGGAUGACCUCUCAUAGCAAGGAAUUAUCUGAUCCACAUAGUCAAUAGAAUGUUAUGGACUAGUUGUUUGGGUCCCCACAAAAUUAAUAUGUUGAAACCCUUCCUAAUCACCUCCCCGAUGAGAUGGUAUUAAGAGGUGGAGAUAGUGGUAGAAAGCUAGUCUAUAGAUCUGAUAUAGAAUACUAAUUAAUGUAUUUUUAGAACAAAUCCUAGGUGUUCUUCAAAGGCUUUUUGAUGAUUAUUUUUGCCUUGGUAUUCUUAGCACCAUCCUGGGUAUCACAUGUUUGUUUCUUAAUCAGAGCUCUAUUCAUUUUGUCUUCUUUGAUGUGUAUUCUUAUAGACUUGUUACCUAAUGGAUGAUCAGUGAGUUUUGGCAUGAUAUUGGUAGAUAAAAAUAAAUGUUCCACCACACUGAUGUGCUCAGUAUCAUCUUACAUAUGAUCUAAUCCAAGUGAUGGAAUGAACAUCACCUACAAUAGCAGUCAAAUUCAGAUCAAAAUAUUUCAUGAAUCCAAACAAAAAACAGAAAGGAAUUAUCACCUUGUAUCUCCUUUGUGCAAUAAACCGUAAAUUGCAAAAUUUGAAAAAUGGAAAGUGAGCAAUGAAAACUUUUUACAAAAUGUGUCAUUAAUUUAUACCUGGAAAUAAUACAUUAAAAAUGAUAGUUUCAAAAUAGAAUUUCUUCUAAAAUAUAAAAAUCUCAUUUUGGGAGAAAAAACAAAGGAGACAAUGGGAGAAAAAGAUGGCAAAAUAAAAUUAGAAAAUAUUGAGAGUACAAGUUACCUCUACUUCUGUAUUUUCUUAUUUAUUUAAAAUGCCUUGGUUAUUUACGGAGAUUUAAAAUUUAAAAGUAAUUGUCCUUGAUACAAACUUUUCUUAUCUGAGUGAAGAAUUUAAUCAGGUAUCACUUUCUUGUUUCUAAGCUCUCAAACAGUUUAACUUUACACCUCAAGGAUCAAUACUAGUGUUAUCAAAACUAUUUGGUGUCAGCAUAAAAACAGACAUAUAGAUCAUUGAAAUACAAUUGAGAGUCCAGACAUAAAUCCACACAGAUAUGGUUGAUAUUAUGACAAAGAAGCCGAGUUAAACAAUGGAAAAGAGAAAGUCUUUGGUAAAUGGAUUUGGAAAAACUGAACAGUCACAUUCAGAAGAAUAAAACUAGACCUCUAUCUUAUACCAUACACAAAAUAACUUAAUCAAUAAAAGUUUGCACGUUAGACCUGAAACCACAAAACUCCUAGAAGAAAAUAUGAGCAUUAAGCUCACUGACAGUGUUGAUGAUUUUUUGCACAUUACCACAAAAGCAAAGGCAGCAAAAGCAAAAAAACAAGGUAGGGCUACAUUAAAACUAAAAACCUUUUGCACAGCAAAGGAAACUGAUCAAGAAAAUGAAAUGGCAACCUAUCAAUUGGGAUAAAUAUUUGUAAUUCAUAUAAUCUGAUAAUGGAUGGAAUAACAUCCAAGCUAUAAAGAAUUCAUAAUUCAAUAACAAAAAUAAAAAACAUAAAAUCAAGCCUAUUUAAAAAAUGGGAAGAGGAUCCAAAUAGACAUUUUCCCAAAGAUAAUGUACUGAUAGCCAAUAGGUGCAUGAAAUGGUGCUCAACAUCGUGAUCAGAAAGGCAAAUCAGAACUAUGAGAUAUCACUUCACACGUUAGAAUGGCUAUUGUCAAAAAGACAAGAAACAAGUGUUGAUGAGAGAAGGGAACUGUUGGUAGGAAUAUCACUGGGUACAACCACUAUAGAAAACAUUAUGGAAGGUCCUCAACAAAUUAAAAAUAGAUAUACCAUAUUAACAAGCAAUUCCAACUUAUAGGUAUUAAUCCAAAAGUUAAAAAAAAAAAAACACUAACUCAAAAAGAUAUCUGUGGGGUUCCCAUUGUGGCUCAGUGUGCUAAGACCUUGACUACUAACCAUGAGGAUACAGGUUUGAUCUCUGACCUCGAUCAGUGGUUUCAGGAUCCGGUGUUGCUGCAAGGUGCAGCAUAGGUCAAGGAUCCAUCUGGAAUCUGGUGUUGCUAUGCUGUGGUGUGUGCUGGUGGCUGCCACUCCAAUUUGACCCCUAGCCAGGUAACCUCCAUAUGCUACUAGUGUGGCCUUAAAAAUAUAAAAGAUAUCUGCACCCCCACGUUCACUGCAGCAUUAUUCUCAGUAGGAAAAACAUGAAAACAUUGUGUCCAUCGAUGGAUGAAUGAAUAAAGAAAAUGUGAUUUUUUGUUAUUUAUACAGUUGACUCAAACAAUACUAGUAUUAGGUAUACUAACCCUUCAUGCAGCCAAAAAUUUGAGUAUAUCUUAACAACUGGCCCUUCCCAACUAUAGUUCUUUAUAUCUUUAGAUUCUAUCAACAGGGAAUUGUUUUGUACUGCAGUCCAUUUUCAUUGACAAAAAUCCACAUGUAAGUUUACCCUUGCAAUUCAAACCUGUGUUAUUCAAAAGUCAACUACACACACACACACAGUCAUAUUAUCCAUCCAUAAAAAAAGGAAAUCUUGGUAUUUGUGACUUUAUUUUUGUUUUGUUUUGGGCUGCGCCUGCAGCAUCUCAAAGUUCUGACAGCUACUACCUAUGCCACAGCAGCACCAGGUCAGUGCAGAGACAAUGUUGGAUUCUUAGCCCUCUUGCAACAGGAACUCCAUUUGCGACAGUUUGGAUGGACCUCAAGGUAUUAUACUAAGUGAAAUAAUUUCAGACAGAAAAAGACAAAUACCGUAUGAACUCACUUAUAUGUGUAACCUAAAAAAAGACGAAAAACAAACCCACAAAACCAAACUCAGAUAUGGUAAAUAGAUCUAUGGUUGUCAGAGAUGGGCAGUGAGGUGUGUGUGAAAUGGGUGAAGAUGAUCAAAAUGUACGAACAUAAAAGUAAAGGCAUUACCCUGUGUAUAUGGAGAAUGAUCUAUGGGGACCUGCUAUUCCCAUAGCACAGGGAACUGUACCCUAUAUUCUGUGGUAAUAUAUAUGGGAAAAGAAUCUGGAGAAGAAUGGAUGUGUAUCUAUAUAUAACUGAAUCACUUUGUUGUAUAGCAGAAAUUAUCACAACAUUGUAACAAUACUUCAAUAAACCUGUUAAAAUGGAAGAAAUGACACCACCCUUUCUUUAAAAUGAGUGCAGAUAAUUUUAAGUAUAAUUCUGAAACACAUCAAGUUGUUAGGUUUAUUUGAAUAAUGAGUGGGUUUGAUAAAAUUUUUCCUUAAGUAGGAAAUCCUAAACAUCUGUGUGGCUAUCCAAGGAACAUCCAAGAUAAAAAUUCUUGUAAACACUGUAAUAAAUGUGUGGGCAAUACAAAAAACUGAAAGCAUCUAUGUCCUUUUUUGUAUGAGCUUCUUCAUUUCAGAUAUAGUCACAAUAUUUUUUUACUAGAGCCUACUAACAUCUUGCUUUCAAAGAAAUUGAACCAAUGUAAAUAAUGCAUUUUGAUGUCAAUCUUUAAGAGACAUUUUUAUUUCAUGUUCAAACUUCAUUAAUUCAAAAUUUGGAAAUGUUUAAUACUUGCCAUUAAUUUCAAGGUGACCUAAAGUAGGUAUGUGUACAUGUCUGGAUGCCUACAAAUAGGGCUUCAAGGUUAAUAAUUCUAUUAAUACUAUAAUAAAUAUGAUGACAGAAAUUAAACGUAAAAUAAUUUUAAGUUGAUGCCCUAACAAAUUAUUCUCCCAGCAUCAAUUUCAGUGGAAGUAAUCACAUUUUUACCUAAGGAAUUCUUAUCAGCUUCUGCUAUCUUGGAAAAUAUUUGACACAUUAAAUUGGAUUAUAUAUUUUUCUCAUGAACUCCUACUUUAUGUUCAUUUUUAUUUUUAAAUAGAUUUUCCCAUUAACCUUUACUGAAAAUAUUAAUAUUUUUCAUAAAAUAGUAACAAUAUAAUCAUAGUAUAUUUUUAUUUUACCAAAUACAGAAACAACUUAAAUCAUUACAUUUUAGUCCCAUUGUGGCAUUGUUUCAUUCAUUUGUUCAUUACCUCUGUUAUUCUUAUCAUUAUCACCAUCAUUAACUACACUCUCCCUGAUUUCACACAUCCCAUUACUUGUAUAAAUGCUGUACACAAAUGCUGUCACUUACAUUUCCUUUGAAAUUUACCUUUGCCUUCCCUUUUUCAUUAUGUUGAAAUUGUUUAAUCCUUCAUCAAUGAUAUCACGAGGUAACUAAAAAGAGGAAAGCUAUUAUAAAGACUACUGUGUCCUUACUUGUGAAGUGAUAUGAUCUAAAAUAUGAGGUCCUUCAUAGAAAGGUAGAAUAUGUUUAUUCUAUUUCUUUUAUUACAGCCUCCCAACUUCACAGAAAUGCUAGCAAUUUAUAAAAAAACAAAAGCAGCAACCACCACAACAACCAGCAAAAGACAUUAUGCCUCCAUGGAUUACAUGAUGAAGUAGUGCUGGUAACCCUUAAUCAGAAAAUUUUAGUAAGUGUUGAGGCCAGCUGUAGAAGUGGCUCUGCCUGGACCAAAAAUACAACUUCACAGCUGCACAGGGUUGGUGCUUACCCAAGAUUGGUCUUUAAGACUCUCAACAAUCUGCUAUAGCCUAGAUAUGUUAGCACUCCUUUUCUUUUACUGUGUAUACUACAUUCAGUUAGUGUCCUGCACUUUGCUCCAUCCAUGCUUAUGAAGUUCCUCAUUUUCUUUCCUCUAUGGGAUAAUUAAUUUUCCCAAGUUUAUUGCCAAUUGAAUUACAAGCUUAAAUGGCACCUUUAUCCUGCCUUCUUCCAGUUCUCCUGUAGUGGAUUUGACUUGUAACUUCACUAAAUCUCUAACCAUGAUUGUUUCCUAAGAAAUUUCUCAUAAGCAUUAUAGUUUGAGAUUAGUAUGGCUACUUGUACAUAACACAUUCCAUCCAAGGAUGAAUUCAAGGUAGAGAUUAUGCAUUACACAACAAUGUUUACAUAGUAAUUUACUAAAAUAUUUUUGCAUGUUGAAUAAACAUGUUCACAGUAUUUUUAAUCAUUAAAUUGAUGUUACAGGAAGCACAUAAUAUAUAGUUUAUAAAGUUUUCCUGUCAUAUCUCCUUUCAU